UAUUUCUGGAAGUGUUCUAUGGAAUGGGUGUAAGGUUUUGGGUUUUGUUUUGUUUUUUUUCCCAUUAGUUUUUUUUUGUUUUGGGGAUGUUUUUAGAGAUUGGGUCUCAUGUUGCCCAGGCUGGACUCAAACUCCUGGGUUCAGAUGAUUCUCCCACCUCAGCCUCCCGAGUAGCUGGGACUACAGGUACGCACCACUGCACGUGGCUGAACAUUAGCUUUAACCUGCAUUUGUGCAAUAUCCUGUCUGCUGUUUAGGAGCUGGAGUCCAGCACUUGGACUUGUUUGGAUCCCCAACUGCCUUGCUCUGACUGUCAACUGAGAAAUGUAUGCCAGUCAGAUCAUUACCCUGAUGGAAGAAAACUCCAAGUCCUUCCAGCAGUAAUGUGCAUCCUAUAAUAUUUCUUCAUUUCAUAUUUAUUGACCCACUUGCCUGUGCCCAGUGCUGUAGCAGAGGCUCGGGGGAACAUUCUUAGCAGGAAGAGAGCUCACUUCACCAUCUUCUUGGGGAGACAACAAGUACAUCCAUGUAACAAUGAUACCUUCAGUUGCCAAAGGGAGCAUUUCAAUUGACCAGCAGCUAAUAUCUGAUGAGGACCCGUGGCUGACCGACAUGAAGGUGGGCUCAUGAUCCCUCUGGUCUCCAUGCCCUUCUGAGACGCCCCCCAUUGGGUGUGGGUGGGGCCUGUGACUUGCUUCUAACUAACAGAAUAUGGCAAAGGUGACAGGAUGGAUGUGACUAUGUGUACGUUAUAUGAAAUUGUAAUGACAGUUUUGCUAGGAUGCCUCCUUCCUUGUUGGCUUACGAGCAAGAAACUGAUGCCCUCAGUCCAACAACCUGCUCGUAGCUGAAUUCUGCAAACAAGUACACGAGCUUGGAAGAAGAUCCUUCCCCAGUGAAGCCACAGAUGAGACCCUAGCCCUGGCCUGCACCUUGAUCACAGGCUUGGAGAGGACCCAGUUGAGCCAUGCUCAGACUCCUGUAAGAAAAUUGUGAGAUAGACUGGGUGCGGUGGCUCACGCCUAUAAUCCCAGCACUUUGGGAGGCCGAGGCAGGCGGAUCACCUGAGGUCAGGAGUUCAAGACCAGCCUGGCCAACAUGGUGAAACCUCAUCUCUACAAAAAUACAAAAAUUAGCUGGGCAUGAUGGCAGGUACCUGUAAUCCCACCUACUUGGGAGGCUGAGGUGGGAGAAUCACUUGAACCCGGGAGGGGGAGGUUGCAGUGAGCCGAGAUGGCACCAUUGCACUCCAGCCUGGGUGACAGAGAGACUCCGUCUCAAAAAAAAAAAAAAAAAAAAAAAAGAAAAGAAAAGAAAAAGAAAAUUGUGAGGCCGGGCAUGGUGGCUCACACCUGUAAUCCCAGCACUUGGGGAGGCUGAGGCAGGUGGAUCACAAGGUCAGGAGUUCGAGACGUGCCUGACCAACAUGGUAAAACCCCGUCUCUACUAAAAAUACAAAAAUUAGCCAGGUGUGGUGGCACACGCCUAUAAUCCCAGCUACUCAGGAGGCUGAGGCAGGAGGAUCGCUUGAACCUGGAACCUGGAAGGCAGAGGUUGCAGUGAGCCAAGAUCUCGCCACAGCACUCCAACCUGGGCGACAG
rnacentral:lncRNA from 10 species